UCCCUGGUGGCUCAGAUGGUAAAGAAUCUGCCUGCAAUGCAGGAAACCUAGGUUCAAUCCCUGGGUUGGGAA
rfam:TPA: Bos taurus chromosome 9, whole genome shotgun sequence.